CCUACGGGUGGCAGCAGUAGGGAAUAUUGCUCAAUGGGGGAAACCCUGAAGCAGCAACGCCGCGUGGAGGAUGAAGGUUUUCGGAUUGUAAACCCCUUUUGUUAGAGAAGAUAAUGACGUUAUCUAACGAAUAAGCACUGGCUAACUCCGUGCCAGCAGCCGCGGUAAUACGGAGGGUGCAAGCGUUACUCGGAAGGACUGGGCGGAAAGAUAGCGUAGGCGGGAUAGCAAGUCAGAUGUGAAAUCCUAUGGCUUAACCAUAGAACUGCAUUUGAAACUGUUAUUCUAGAGUGUGGGAGAGGUAGGUGGAAUUCUUGGUGUAGGAGUAAAAUCCGUAGAGAUCAAGAGGAAUACUCAUUGCGAAGGCGACCAGCUAGAACAUAACUGACGCUGAUGCGCGAAAGCGUGGGGAGCAAACAGGAUUAGAUACCCUAGUAGUC
rnacentral:rRNA from 1 species